UGAACUGAAAGAGCCCAAUGAGAACCAGCACAAGAGUAACUAGGUACUGGACCCAGCAAACUACUAUGUCAGGUUGGAUCUGGAUGAUGGCUGUCUCUCUAUUGGUCUGAGUUUCGACAAAACUGAAGAACAACUG
rnacentral:lncRNA from 12 species